GACGAACGCUGGCGGCGUGCUUAACACAUGCAAGUCGAACGGAAAGGCCCUGCUUUUGUGGGGUGCUCGAGUGGCGAACGGGUGAGUAACACGUGAGUAACCUGCCCUUGACUUUGGGAUAACUUCAGGAAACUGGGGCUAAUACCGGAUAGGAGCUCCUGCUGCAUGGUGGGGGUUGGAAAGUUUCGGCGGUUGGGGCUGGACUCGCGGCUUAUCAGCUUGUUGGUGGGGUAGUUGCUUACCAAGGCUUUGACGGGUAGCCGGCCUGAGAGGGUGACCGGCCACAUUGGGACUGAGGUACGGACCAGAAUCCUACGGGAGGCAGCAGUGGGGAAUAUUGCACAAUGGGCGGAAGCCUGAUGCAGAAACGCCGCGUGCGGGAUGACGGCCUUCGGGUUGUAAACAGAUUUCGCAUGUGACGAAGCGUGAGUGACGGUAAUGGGUAAAGAAGCACCGGCUAACUACGUG
rnacentral:rRNA from 1 species